AUGCUCUCCAAGGCGGCCCGUUGUGGGCACAUUACCCCCGUGAUCUCCCAUCUUCUGCCGGAAGGUGUCUCCCAUCUGCAAUACGCCAAUCUUAAAUUCAUCUUGCUGUGUUUCGAAGUUGUUUCGGGUCUGAAGAUCAAUUUCGCCAAGAGUGAGGUUCUGGUGACGGGUGUGGACGGGGCGGAAGCCUUGCGGGUUGCCAGGCUCCUUAAUUGCGCUUUAGGUUCUUUCCCUUUGAAGUAUUUAGGACUUUCUAUCUCUCCUGGUAUCCUUCAUGCGAAGGACUUCGCUCCGGUGGUUGCUGAAGUAGGAAAUAGGGUGCUCCCUUGGAGGGGUAGAUAUAAUACCAAUGCAGGCAAAGUGGCUUUAAUCAAUUCUUGCCUGUCUUCUCUCCCUAUGUUUCUUAUGGGCUUCUAUCUUCUCACGAAUGGCGUGCAUUCUGGCUUCGACAAACAUAGGGGUGGCUUCUACUGGAAUUCAGCUGAUAACAAAAGAAAAUAUAGGCUGGUUAAGUGGCAACUGAUGUGUAGGCCUAAAAACCUUGGGGGGUUAGGCAUUAUUAACACUCGGGUGAUGAACAUGUGUUUGCUCAUCAAGUGGUGGUGGAAAAUUAUGACUGUGGGGGCCGGGUCGCUGUGG
rnacentral:rRNA from 1 species